rnacentral:rRNA from 1 species
GGCGAGUGGCGAACGGGUGAGUAAUACAUCGGAACGUGUCCUGGAGUGGGGGAUAGCCCGGCGAAAGCCGGAUUAAUACCGCAUACGCUCUGUGGAGGAAAGCGGGGGAUCUUCGGACCUCGCGCUCAAGGGGCGGCCGAUGGCAGAUUAGCUAGUUGGUGGGGUAAAGGCCUACCAAGGCGACGAUCUGUAGCUGGUCUGAGAGGACGACCAGCCACACUGGGACUGAGACACGGCCCAGACUCCUACGGGAGGCAGCAGUGGGGAAUUUUGGACAAUGGGGGCAACCCUGAUCCAGCAAUGCCGCGUGUGUGAAGAAGGCCUUCGGGUUGUAAAGCACUUUUGUCCGGAAAGAAAACCUCUGGGUUAAUACCCUGGGGGGAUGACGGUACCGGAAGAAUAAGCACCGGCUAACUACGUGCCAGCAGCCGCGGUAAUACGUAGGGUGCGAGCGUUAAUCGGAAUUACUGGGCGUAAAGCGUGCGCAGGCGGUUCGCUAAGACCGAUGUGAAAUCCCCGGGCUUAACCUGGGAACUGCAUUGGUGACUGGCGGGCUANAGUAUGGCAGAGGGGGGUAGAAUCCACGUGUAGCAGUGAAAUGCGUAGAGAUGUGGAGGAAUACCGAUGGCGAAGGCA